GGAAGUAAAAGUCGUAACAAGGUCUCCGUUGGUGAACCAGCGGAGGGAUCAUUACCGAGUUUACAACUCCCAAACCCAAUGUGAACGUUACCAAACUGUUGCCUCGGCGGGGUCACGCCCCGGGUGCGUAAAAGCCCCGGAACCAGGCGCCCGCCGGAGGAACCAACCAAACUCUUUCUGUAGUCCCCUCGCGGACGUAUUUCUUACAGCUCUGAGCAAAAAUUCAAAAUGAAUCAAAACUUUCAACAACGGAUCUCUUGGUUCUGGCAUCGAUGAAGAACGCAGCGAAAUGCGAUAAGUAAUGUGAAUUGCAGAAUUCAGUGAAUCAUCGAAUCUUUGAACGCACAUUGCGCCCGCCAGUAUUCUGGCGGGCAUGCCUGUCCGAGCGUCAUUUCAACCCUCGAACCCCUCCGGGGGAUCGGCGUUGGGGAUCGGGACCCCUCACCGGGUGCCGGCCCUGAAAUACAGUGGCGGUCUCGCCGCAGCCUCUCCUGCGCAGUAGUUUGCACAACUCGCACCGGGAGCGCGGCGCGUCCACGUCCGUAAGACACCCAACUUCUGAAAUGUUGACCUCGGAUCAGGUAGGAAUACCCGCUGAACUUAAGCAUAUCAAUAAGCGGAGGA
rnacentral:rRNA from 1 species